GAUGAGUCCCAACCGACCCCCUAAAUAC
rnacentral:tRNA from 1 species